UCUGUGCUCUCUGCAGCACCUUCCCCCGAGUACCGUGUUGUAUUUUUGUAAAGGUCGAUCGAGUUUUAUGACGUGGUUUCGUUUCGCUUGAGAUUUCUUUAAAAAAAAAACUCGACAUUGAGAUGUAUGUCGUUGAUGUAGCCGAAUUGAGUACCUUUGAGCAUUCCGGUUACAUUCCGUUAAUGUCAAAAAUUAGUGUCAUUUAUUCUAAAGUUUUCAGAAAAGGUUAGGCUCUUUAAUUAUUUUCAACGUUCCAGGUUGUAAAGGAAGAAAAAGAAAAUUCCAAAACUCCACACGAAUCGCAGUUCGCGCGAGGCAAUCAUCGCACGUCUUUUCUUUUCCUUCUUUUCCGAGCCGGACCGCACGGCAUUUAGACCAAAUUUGAUCUAGCUUGCGAUUACCAUUCUACUAUGCAUGAUCCACUCAGUGAUCAUAACUCCACUGUGAAGACUUUACAGGCCUCUCAACUUUAUGUGUAGAAUUGUCUGCGGCAUUGAUACAUGCAGGACACGACAGGACACCUUCGUUUUCCAUUGUUUUGCAUUGACACAUGCUUCGCUUUGUCUUUGGGUACGGGAAACGAGGCCUAGCUUUUCGGUGAAAACAACUCGAGAGCGCACAGGAUCGAUGAGGCGAUAUCGAGGCAUUCUCGAAUGUAAAUUCACGGGGUGAUUUUCAUUUUAUCUUCGAUUGGUGAGUUUGCUCUGAACUUGGGAAGAAGAAAAUAAAAAUCUGGAGAUGCGUCUGGUUGGGGCCAGAACGGACACGGUGAGACGCAAAACAAAACAAAUAUUAUUUCUUUUUCAGUUGCUCUAACUCGUCUGUUUUUUUUUUACUCUGUGUUUGGAAAGAGACAGCGAAGGAAGAAACCAAAGCGAGUGCCUCUCACGAAAAGAAACGCAAAUACUCUUCUUCUUUUUUAAAAAAAAUUCCUCUCGAUUUUUUUUGACAUCUUGGAUUCUUUGCCGCUGGCCAGUUUCCCUUAGAUUCCUUUCUUGAAAAAGUUUUUCUUCGCCGUAUUUUGUUUUCUAACCGGUAACUUCUUUUCCGUUAGACAGAAGACACUGCCGAAGGUCAAGUCUCAGUGCUCGUUCUCCACGAUCUCCACUACUGCCAUGUUUGUAUGCCUCAUAUAUAUGUACCUCUGAACCGAUACAAUCGAGUUAAUCAAGAAAUAUUCCUCUCCAAAGCUAUCUCUCUCUCAAAUUAACAUGGUAUCAGACGCUUAGGUAUCUCCUACGGCCCCUCCACCGCCGCCGCCUCCGAACUUUGGCGUCUCCGGCUCCGGUGACAAAAGCUCUGCCUCCACCCCCAUCUCUCUCAGCGACACUAUUGCUGAUGUUAGCCCCUACAUCUCAGUCGUCCUCGAUCUUUCUGCCCACAACUAUUACCACUGGCGGCAUCUGUUUCACAUCCAUCUCGGCCGUUGCGGUCUCCGCCACCACAUCGACGACGGCAAUGUCGCCCAUCCCCUCGAUCCGCGCUGGGUGAAAGAUGAUCUCGGGAUCAUCCAGUGGAUCUACACCAGGAUCUCCACCGAACUCUUCAAUCUGGUUGCGAGGGAUGGCGCACCGCUCAUGAUCUAUGGGCGGAUCUCCGUCGCCUCUUUCAAGACAACAGCGACGCCCGCAUCAACGCCCUCCACGUCGAGCUCCGCAUGAUCUCUCAAGGCGACACACCCGUGAGUGUCUACUGCCAAAGGAUCAAAGCAAUCGGCGACGAGCUGCGCAAACUGGGCGAUCAAGGCGAAGAUCGCACCCUCAUAACCGCUCUCCACAUCGGCCUCAAUGAACGCUUCGACAAGCAGACCUCCUUCAUCCCAAUGAUCAAGCCGCCACCAACCUUCUCCGAGGUGCGCUCCAUGCUGCAGAUGGAAGACAUGACACAGGUGCGCAAUAGCUCUCGUCCACAGAUGUUUCACACCACGGCUCGAUCUAUGCCGCCGCCACCUGCACCAACCGCUACUCCACCGACACAAACGGGGGCGCCGCAACCACCUCCUGGAUGGCGUCCAAGUCCUAACUACAAAGGCAAGAACCCUGUGUACCGGCCUCCUGCUCCUCGUCCACCUGCGGCAGUUCCGGGAACUUCUGCACCAACCGCUUGGCGCGCCCCGACGCAAGAUCCCUGAACUGGGUUAGUUCAGGCCUAGCUGAUGCCAUGGACAACGACGCCGCCUCCGGCAUUGACCCCUGCACCUCCUGCCGCCUAGACAACUGUUCCUCAUCCCCACACCGGCUCUCCUGGUCUUCUUGGUCCGGUGUACCAAUCUUCACCGACUCCAGCGCCGUACUCUUCACCGCCCGGUUAUCCUCCUGCACCACAGUACCAUCCGGCUUCAUCGUACCAGUACCAAGCAGUACCACAGUACCAGUUGGCUCCAUCGAACCAGUACCAAGCAGCACCAUAAUACCAGUCGGCAUCUCCUUCAACUCUGGCUUCUACAUCUUCGGCUGCUGCUGGAUCUUGAUCGACUGCACCUCAAUGGGAUCAAACUGCCUUCAUCGCCGCCAUGAACAACUACGCUGCUCAGGGAGAAGGAUCUUCAAACCCGGGAGGUGAUCGUUCGCUUCAAUAGCUCAGGUGACCUGCACCCCCUGUCGACGGCUUCGUCUGCCCAAGCUCCCUCCACAUUCCAUGCAUCCGUCGACAUCUGGCACCGGCACUUAGGGCAUCCCAACAACAAAACCUUGUCUAGUUUACUUUCAGACUUUCAGAUUCCAUGUAGCUGUGAUUUGCACAAUUCUAGUCUUUGUGAUGCUUGUCAAAAGGGAAAGCAUGUUCGUCUCCCUUUCAGUACUUCUACUACUCGUUGUAUUUCCCCCUUUGAAUUACUACAUUGUGAUGUUUGGACCUCUCCUGUGCAUAGUGUCUCGGGUUUUAA